rnacentral:rRNA from 1 species
UCCAGGCCCUACGGGGCGCAGCAGGCGCGAAACCUCCACAAUGCACGAAAGUGCGAUGGGGGAACCCCAAGUGCCUAUGCACAGCAUAGGCUUUUCCCAAGUGUAAAUAGCUUGGGGAAUAAGGGCUGGGCAAGUCCGGUGCCAGCAGCCGCGGUAACACCGGCGGCCCGAGUGGUGGCCACUCUUAUUGGGCCUAAAGCGUCCGUAGCCGGUCCAGUAAGUCCCUGUUUAAAUCCUACGGCUUAACCGUAGGGCUGGCAGGGAUACUGCUGGACUUGGGACCGGGAGAGGACGAGGGUACUCCAGGGGUAGCGGUGAAAUGCGUUGAUCCCUGGAGGACCACCUAUGGCGAAGGCACUCGUCUGGAACGGGUCCGACGGUGAGGGACGAAAGCCAGGGGCGCGAACCGGAUUAGAUACCCGGGUAGUCCUGGCCGUAAACUCUGCGGACUAGGUGUCGUCUGGGCCUCGGGCCCAGGCGGUGCCGAAGGGAAGCCAUUAAGUCCGCCGCCUGGGGAGUACGGUCGCAAGACUGAAACUUAAAGGAAUUGGCGGGGGAGCACCACAACGGGUGGAGCCUGCGGUUUAAUUGGAUUCAACGCCGGGCAUCUCACCAGGGGCAACAGCAUGAUGACGGUCAGGUUGACGACCUUACCUGAAGCGCUGAGAGGUGGUGCAUGGCCAUCGUCAGCUCGUACCGCGAGGCGUCCUGUUAAGUCAGGUAACGAGCGAGACCCGUGCCCUAUGUUGCGACUUCUUCCUCCUGGGAGAAGGCACUCAUAGGGGACCGCUGGUGUUAAACCAGAGGAAGGAGCGGGCAACGAUAGGUCCGCAUGCCCCGAAUCCCCUGGGCUACACGCGGGCUACAAUGGUUGGGACAAUGGGAUGCGACCCCGAAAGGGGAAGCAAAUCUCCUAAACCCAAUCGUAGUUCGGAUCGUGGGCUGUAACUCGCCCACGUGAAGCUGGAAUCCGUAGUAAUCGCAGUUCAACAUACUGCGGUGAAUGUGUCCCUGCUCCUUGCACUCACCGCCCGUC